UCUCACCUCCGUCCUUGGAAAGGUGUUGGAACAUUCAGAAUGAUUUUUAUUUCUUGUCCUCAGUCUUGCAAAGGUUUGACAAUCAGACUGGAGAUGCAGGUAAGACUGGGUACUAUCAUAGUAUUUUAGGGUUUAAUUUUAAAUGAACAGUGCAAUUUGAGUUUGUUCUUAUAGGUAGUUAUUGCUAAAAGCUACCUGAACUUUCUGAUCACACUUACUUCAAUAGUAUGUUCACUGAAAGCAAAGUAAUUAGGAAUAAUAGGUUUUUAUAGACAAGAGCAUUGCAGAUGAGAAAUCAGACUGGUAAGUUUGAUGGAAUUAGUAGAGAUGGCCAAAAAACAGAGAUGAGUGUAAACCUUAUUUGACACUCCAUGUCUUCACUUCAGGCAUGCCAUUUACGUAGAGCAGUGGAACACACAAUGAGUAUACUCUCCUCCACCUCCCAAGCUAUCCCUUCCCAUCAUCUCUGAGUUACAAGCUGUACUUCCUGUCCUGAGAACAGCAGAUGAACAAACAACAAAAUGUACUGGUUACACCACUUUGCCUCAUUCCCAUACAGGCCUGGAACUUUUAGAAAUACGGUUAACAUUCAAGCUAGUAUUUAGGCUUUUAAUUUCCCACAGAAAUGAGUGAGAAAGUAAGAGCUUAAGUAAGUGGCUGAACCACUGAUACACAACUGUAUAUGGUGCUUUUGUUCAUAACCUCUAUCUUCCAUAUAUUCCACAUCAAGUGUAGUAAAAGGGAAAAAUCCUUCCAAAGUAUUACCUUUACAGCCACAAUUUCAGUAUGCUACUUGCUGCCUCAGUGGGACAGGUCACCAAUGCAAGAAAGGAUUGGAUAAUCCUUCAUUCCCUGUAAAUUUGUCUUCAAGAACAAAGAGUAAAUCUUGGAAAGACUCACUCAAAGCUGAAUGCUUCUCAUCCUGAGCAUCCUUGGAUAUAUCAGAAAUCUUCCCAGAUAACCAGAUCCAAUCAUGGCAAAAAGAUACUUAAAUCCUUACAAGAACAUGUACUAAGUUUUAGCAAACUUCUCUCCCUCCUCAAAAUAAAAACCAAUACAAGUUAUAGACAAACAAA